GACGAACGCUGGCGGCGUGCUUAACACAUGCAAGUCGAACGGAAAGGCCCUGCUUUUGUGGGGUGCUCGAGUGGCGAACGGGUGAGUAACACGUGAGUAACCUGCCCUUGACUUUGGUGUAACUUCAGGAAACUGGGGCUAAUACCGGAUAGGAGCUCCUGCUGCAUGGUGGGGGUUGGAAAGUUUCGGCGGUUGGGGAUGGACUCGCGGCUUAUCAGCUUGUUGGUGGGGUAGUGGCUUACCAAGGCUUUGACGGGUAGCCGGCCUGAGAGGGUGACCGGCCACAUUGGGACUGAGAUACGGCCCAGACUCCUACGGGAGGCAGCAGUGGGGAAUAUUGCACAAUGGGCGGAAGCCUGAUGCAGCAACGCCGCGUGCGGGAUGACGGCCUUCGGGUUGUAAACCGCUUUCGCCUGUGACGAAGCGUGAGUGACGGUAAUGGGUAAAGAAGCACCGGCUAACUACGUG
rnacentral:rRNA from 1 species